CAAAGGUGAGCCAGUACAGGAUGGACCCGCGUCUGAUUAGCUAGUUGGUAAGGUAACGGCUUACCAAGGCGACGAUCAGUAGCCGACCUGAGAGGGUGAUCGGCCACAUUGGAACUGAGACACGGUCCAAACUCCUACGGGAGGCAGCAGUGGGGAAUAUUGCACAAUGGGCGAAAGCCUGAUGCAGCAACGCCGCGUGAGUGAUGAAGGCCUUCGGGUCGUAAAACUCUGUCCUCAAGGAAGAUAAUGACGGUACUUGAGGAGGAAGCCCCGGCUAACUACGUGCCAGCAGCCGCGGUAAUACGUAGGGGGCUAGCGUUAUCCGGAUUUACUGGGCGUAAAGGGUGCGUAGGCGGUCUUUCAAGUCAGGAGUGAAAGGCUACGGCUCAACCGUAGUAAGCUCUUGAAACUGGGAGACUUGAGUGCAGGAGAGGAGAGUGGAAUUCCUAGUGUAGCGGUGAAAUGCGUAGAUAUUAGGAGGAACACCAGCUGCGAAGGCGGCUCUCUGGACUGUAACUGACGCUGAGGCACGAAAGCGUGGGGAGCAAACAGGAUUAGAUACCCUGGUAGUCCACGCUGUAAACGAUGA
rnacentral:rRNA from 1 species